rnacentral:tRNA from 1 species
UCGGUAUUGGGAUGGUGUCAGUCCCGUUGAUUUUUUGAAAAGUGAUGAGAAGUAGUUAGAAUCCACAAUGCCGAU